rfam:Zootermopsis nevadensis contig30432, whole genome shotgun sequence.
GCCUCGGUGGUCUAGCGGUUAGAACGCUGGCCUUGUAAUCCUGGGGUCUCGGGUUCGAUUCCCGGCGGUGCCC